rnacentral:rRNA from 1 species
UACAGAGGGUGCAAGCGUUGUUCGGAAUUAUUGGGCGUAAAGGGCGUGUAGGCGGUCUGGUAAGUCUUCUGUGAAAUCUACGGGCUUAGCCUGUAACGUGCAGAGGAAACUACCAGGCUUGAGUGUCGGAGAGGAUAGGGGAAUUCCCGGUGUAGAGGUGAAAUUCGUAGAGAUCGGGAGGAACACCAGUGGCGAAGGCGCCUAUCUGGCUGACAACUGACGCUGAGACUCGAAAGCAUGGGGAGCAAACAGG